AACGUAGGACGCAAACGUUAUCCGGAAUUACUGGGCGUAAAGGGCGCGUAGGCGGGUGGACAAGUCUCUCGUGAAAGCCCACGGCUCAACCGUGGAAUUGCGGGAGAUACUGUCUGUCUUGAGUCCGGGAGGGGAGGGUGGAAUUCCCAGUGUAGCGGUGAAAUGCGUAGAUAUUGGGAGGAACACCGGUGGCGAAGGCGGCUCUCUGGACCGGUACUGACGCUGAGGCGCGAAAGCUAGGGGAGCAAACGGG
rnacentral:rRNA from 1 species